GAUGAACGCUGGCGGCAUGCCUUACACAUGCAAGUCGAACGGCAGCACGGGUGCUUGCACCUGGUGGCGAGUGGCGAACGGGUGAGUAAUACAUCGGAACGUACCUUAUCGUGGGGGAUAACGCAGCGAAAGCUGUGCUAAUACCGCAUACGCCCUGAGGGGGAAAGCGGGGGAUCGAAAGACCUCGCGCGAUUAGAGCGGCCGAUGCCUGAUUAGCUUGUUGGUGGGGUAAAAGCCCACCAAGGCGACGAUCAGUAGCUGGUCUGAGAGGAAGAUCAGCCACACUGGGACUGAGACACGGCCCAGACUCCUACGGGAGGCAGCAGUGGGGAAUUUUGGACAAUGGGGGCAACCCUGAUCCAGCAAUGCCGCGUGAGUGAAGAAGGCCUUCGGGUUGUAAAGCUCUUUUGUCAGGGAAGAAACACCGGCUCUAACACAGUCCGGGAAUGACGGUACCUGAAGAAUAAGCACCGGCUAACUACGUGCCAGCAGCCGCUGUAA
rnacentral:rRNA from 1 species